GCCCAGGCAAGGGGCAGGGCUACGUUUUCCCCUAGGGAGCCCGCAGGGCCAAGAGGCCAGGUUCACUCCCCUGACCCUAGUGAGCAUCCUGGAAAAGGGAUCAGGAAAGGGGGCCUGGCAGGGAUAGUGACGAAAGGAGGGCCAAAGGAGGGCACAGCAUGAGGGGCCAGAAGCCGGGUACUGGUUGGGUGGGGAAAAGGAACCCAGCAAGGAGCCCAGGCUAGGGACCUAGAGGAGGGCCCACACCAGGGGAGAGCAGGGGCGGGCAGGGCCAGGUAGGAAGUCAGCAGUAGUGGGCUGCAGUGCACAGAAACUAAGGGGAGCAGGGAUGCGGCCCAAGCAAGGGGCCCGCAGCCAAUGCCCAGGGAAGCGCUGGUCAACAAGGGCCACCAGAGGCUCAAGGAAGGAUCCAG
rnacentral:lncRNA from 1 species